GACGAACGCUGGCGGCGUGCCUAAUACAUGCAAGUCGAACGCAGUGGGGACGGGUGAGUAACCCGUGGGUAACCUCCCAUCAGAGGGGAUAACACUUGGAAACAGGUGCUAAACCGAUACUGAUGGAUGGACCCGCGGUGCAUUAGCUAGUUGGGGAGGUAACGGCUCACCAAGGCCAAGAUGCAUAGCCGACCUGAGAGGGCGAUCGGCCAGACUGGGAUGGAUACACGGCCCAGAAUCCGACGCGAGGCAGAAGUAGGGAAUAUUCGGCAAUGGACGAAAGUCUGACCGAGCAACGCCGCGUGAGUGAAGAAGGUUUUCGGAUCGUAAAACUCUGUUGGUAGAGAAGCGGUAUCUAACCAGAAAGCUACGGCUAACUACGUGCCAGCAGCCGCGGUAAUAC
rnacentral:rRNA from 1 species